rnacentral:lncRNA from 1 species
GUUAAUUAAACAAAAAGGGUCAUGUAAGAAGUAUUUUUAAUUGUGUAGUAUGUUUGACAUUGACAAAUUUGGAGCAAGUAUACUGUAGAUUAUAGAUCAUUAGUUUUCAACCCGCAUUUGGAUUUUGUUUGUUUAAGAUAAAAACCUGAGCACUUUCCCUUAAUAUAACUGAAUAAAAAGUAGUUCUUUAUUAAUAUUAUACUGAAUGUAGUAGAAUAUUUCAAUUUCAGCUGAUGCUGCACAGCUAAUCUAUUUGUAUAUCUUAUGUGAUUUCAUACUUUCUCUAAAGUAGAGAAUAAUUUUGUUUUCUGUUUAUCUUAAUGUGCCUGUGAGAUUAUAUUACAGCUUUAAAUGGCCUACAUGGUGGUGCUGGCACAAUUACAAGUAUUCAAGUUGCAGAAAUCUAUGGACUUAAUGUACAUGUAGAACAAAUCCAAGUAAAAUAUCUCACCAAUCAUCACUGGCUAGAAAUUGACAAUUAUCUUGUGGUUUAUUUACCUUUGAUUUGAUUUUGAAGUAUUCAUUUCAAAACUAGGUGUCUCCAAUGUUAUAUUAGUUUGAAGGCAAGAAACUAUCGGAGAUUUGCAAAUAACAACUUUAGCUUUUGUGCAAAGCUUUGAAUUUCUGUUAGGUUUCUUGGUGACAAUAAACCCAAUAUUUGCUCUGUUCUUAUGACAGAACACACAACAAACAUACUCACAAUGAAAAAACGUUAGAAAUGAUAAGGGAUGACACCAUCAUUCCUUCGAAGCAGAGCAUGUUUCUCAACGAAAAAGGCACUACAAGAGUGCUGACCCCUUCAGCUUUGUGGUUUCUGUUUUUUAACUUUAUUUCGAAAAUUGGUGGGAGACUCCAAUGAAAUCAUGUUUGGGGUAAGUAAUUUGUAGUAAUAGGUGAUCAUGAAAUAAAUAAAAGAACUUAUUCAGCCUUAUUAGUUUUUCACUAAUUGAAAAAUUGAGACUAGUGAAAUUUUAAUGUUGUUUUUUUCAAGAUAAAAGAUGGGCUCUGCUUUAAAAUUAAUUUAAUCAAGUUCAGAAGAAAAAAUUGGAGAUUAAAGAUUAUGCUGAAUUAUAAAUAUAAUUUUAAAUUAUAUAUUUCAUAUUUUAGCAAUAUAUAAAAUAUAUAGAUAUUUUAUAAUCAAGUAGUAAAUAUUUAGUUAAUAAUAUAUUAUAAGUAUUAAGGGCACAUGGUGCCAAUUCUGAGCAUGAUUUGUUUGUUUACAUUGUCAUCCGCUGGUGGUUUUAUUGGUAUUUGGGUUACUUUGACCAUAUAUAGGUCUUAUAGGACAUUUGUUGGCUUGUUGAGGUAAUAAUGAAUUUCAAGCCUUAUUAUUCCUCAUUAACUAAUGAAUGAAAUAUGUUGAUGCAGACAUUAGAAGUUCUUAAGGAGAUCAGAAUGACCACACAUGCCAUAGUUAAAUAUAUAUGAUUUAUGGAUAUAAUUAGAUCUCUAUUAUUUAGUCAUAUUGUAAUUAUACAAUUUAAUUAUAAUGUAUAUAAAAUAUGGCAUGAUAUUGUCGAUUUUGGUUUGAGUUUUUUUACCUGUGUUUAGUCCACGAUUGAAAACAAACUAUAAGCUCUUGGCUGUUAUAACCACUGCUAAUUUAUAUUGUUAUCUGUUUGAAUGCUUAAAUUUGCUAGUGGUUUUCUUAAGUCCACACUAUCCAAGUUUUGUUUUCUAAGGAGAAUGUGAUUUACCUAAAGUUGGACUUUAUAAAUGUUCAACUCCACUUGGCCACAAGAAACGAGAAAGUUUGAGGUAAAUCCUCAGAAUUCAUGGUUUAAGGAUUAAAAAUUAACGCUAUAUGUUUAUUGAAUAUGCACCUCUUCUUUGUUUCAAUGUAGAUAUACAAUAAAACUUGCUCUAUAUAGUGGAUUCUUAAUUCAUUGUAGGUAAACAUUCUACUUACAUUAAUAUUCCACAAAGUAAUUGUAUGUGUGUGCUUACUCUAUUAUUUUAAGAAAGAAAUUAUUUGUGUGUGCUUACUUUGUUAGUUAAAGUUGUGUACAUGAGAACCUGAAUGAAGAUAAUAUAUAAUAAAUUAUAUCUUUGCUUUAUUAUCAACAUAUGAAGAUUAAUGGUUAUAAUUUUUUUUUAGGUUGCUUCAGAUUCUUGGGGAAAUUUUGUAAGCUUCAUUAGCAUAAUUUUGCUACCAAUUUUAAGAAAUGUUGCAGAACAACAUGGAGUUUUUCAACUUUUGAGUGCUUGGGCAGAUGGUUCUGAAUUUGUAACUCUGUCGAAAAGGAAACACCAUUUUCCUUCCUUUUACCAAGAUGUCCCCCUAUUGAUUGGUACUUUUUUUUCUUUUACCUUUUUAUUUCCUUUAGUUAAUCACUAAGUUAUUCAAACUUUAAUCUGAAAUUCAAAGAUUUCUUUUAAUCUUUUACAUCUUAAAGUUAUUUUUAAAAGAAAAACCCAAAUGAACAAGUAUGUUUAACUUGUGCUUGAAUAGAUGUUGCAGGGGAGUGGUGUAAUGCUAAUGCUCUUGAUGUGAGAACGAUGUAGAAGAAACUGGUCUUGGUCCAGUUGAUUCAGAUGCCUACACCAUUAACGGCUUGCCCAGUGAUUCUUACAAUUGCUCUCAAAAUCGUAAGUCAACUAUUCACCAUAAUUUGGAAAUCAGAUAUAGCUCAUACUAUAUAAUUAAGCAACACAUAUAAUUCGAAUUCUCAUAAUGAAUUAAAAUUU